AACAUGAACCUUUAUGUGAAAAAGUGAUGGUAUCUGUAAAGGUGAUAGAAUGGUAUGAACCAUUUCCUUCAAUUUUCCUGUAAUCGUAAAAAUUAUCUCGAACCGUUAACCUUACCGUUCAAACUUAAACUUCAAAAAUGAGCGGAACGCCGGUCAGAGAUGCCAGGUAGUUUUACAAAACAUCAGUGAGUAGUUAUGAGAAUAUCUCUUAUAUUUUUUUAUAUUCUGAUACGAUUCUAUAAAGUUUCGAAGACAAUAAUUUAUCUUGGAGGCAUGCAUAAACAUCAUACUAAACGAGGUUUAGCCCACGCUCUCCGCGAUGCGUUUAAAAAAGCUUUAAGUGAAAUUAUGCACGGUUAUUACGAGUGAUUCUUUGCGAAUCCAUCUGGACUGAAUUACAAUUUUAGUUAAUUUGUGAUCCCUAAAACAUUCUUAAAUUACUACCCAUAAUCAUUCUGAUCAUAUAAAAUAUUUACCUUUGAAUUUUACAUCUCAAUAUCUAUACAAAUAUAGAUAAAACAUUGAACCUGGCACCACUGAUGUAGACUUUGUUUUGGUUGUCAAACGUAAAGCAAGAAAAAAUCGGUGUGGUCUUCUCGUUUCAUCAUUCAUUUCAUCAUUUCAUCACCACAAAAUCAUGGCAUCGAUAUUGCGGGCCACCAAAUUUGUCCGCUAUUUCGCCGGAUUCGCGAGGAACAUAGAUUUCAACACAGUCCGGAAGACGGAAGGAAGUUUUAUUCAGCAGUCGCAAUGUUCUGUGAGCGGUUAUGCUACAUCUGCCGCUAGUUUCAGUCAGGGACUCGACCGAUCUUUGAAGCGGCUGGAUGAAGAUGUAAAAUGCUCUGGAAGAAACGCCGAGAUCUGGAAGAUGUUCCGGAGGAAAUCCGUAUCUUCCAGCGCUCAAUCUUGACUGGUUAUUCGUUGUUGCGAAAACCUAGAGGAGCUUCCCGAGGUGCGUACAGCUCUGGUUCAGGAGUAAUGGGAAACAUUGAACAGCUUGAACGUAGCAAUGGACAUUUCCCACUACAACGCCCUUCUUCGGGUGUAUUUGGAUAAUGAGCACUCUGUAGGGACCACUGGAUACGACACACUCCUUCUCGCCAACGGAACAAGGGCGUUGAACUGAAUCGGGUAACCUAUCAGCGAUUGAUUUCGCGCUACUGCCAAGAGGGAGACAUCGAGGGAGCAAACAAGAUUCUGGAAUUCCUGCGAGAGAAGCAGCAUGAAUGCGUUUUCAACGUUGCAUAAAAUUAGGCAAAUUAGUUGGUAACAUUAAACGAUAUUCAAUAAAAUGUUGAAACUAGAAAACAAUUUCUAUUUUUAUCCGAAAAUCUCCCAAUACAUUAAAAAUAUUGCGUUUGUGUGCGUGCUCUUUUCAUGAACGAUUCCUAAAACGGUUUGAAUAAUGUUGGAAUAAAAUAAAGUCAAAUCGUUACACAACCAUUGACGUAAGCGUUUAAUAAUGAGAGCUCCUCGAAAAAACUAUAACGAUGACCAUCCGAUGAU